rnacentral:lncRNA from 1 species
UUUGGGCUUUAUCCUUUGGAUAAUGAGGAACAAUCUGUGCUUUGGUUUUUGCUUUAAGGCAGAUCAUGAUUGGGGCUACUACACUGUGGAGGUGCUCAAAAGUCAGUUCACCUCCCCCUUUCCCUGUCUCUGGCUUCCACCCUUCCCUGCUCGUCUCACCUGGGGCAUACACCAGAUGGCAGUAUCCCAUUGAGGACAGGACCCUCCUGGCCUUUCAGCUCACUGACCAAGAAGGUGUGGAGGCCUCCCUCCCCACGACCCACCUCCCCUGUGAGAAGUUCAAGGGUGUCUGUGCUGAGAUGAGGGCACAAAUACACCGGGAUCACAAAGAAAGGAACAAAGCAAGACCCAAGGUGCACCAAGUUCCUGUGAUGCAGCAGACGCUUCAGUUCAUCACCUCAUUUAAUUCUUAUUGGCAGAGUGAGAGAAAGAUGUCAUAGUAUUAAUUUCGCACAAUGAAAAUCUGAAUCUCAGUUAAGGGGAGUAAGUUCCUGAAAGUCAACAACCAAUGAGAGAAAACCCAAAUGAGACAGACCUUUGAGAACCCAAAGUGCAUGUACCUUCCUCACAUUGUCACCCCCUUUAAACAAAAAUGAACAAAACAAAGAAGAAGAAAGAAAAAAAAACCCACUGCUUUCCUUGCCCUGGAUAUGAGGGACUGGAUUCCAUCAAGGGGAAUGCACUGCCGCCAAUCCCCGGCCUCUCCUGAGUUUGUUUUUAAUUCCACAUAAUCGGAAUGACUGCAGCUCUUAAUCCCCUGAAUGGCCAGAGCAUCCAUUGCUGGUUCCAUGCCAAUCCCCAAGGCCCAGGCACCAUGUAAAUACAAGACAGUGACUCACACAUUUGGAAAAAUUCCUUGACUCAUCCUGCUGGGGACAGUCAGUCCAGUCUGGGUGCUGGACCCAGAAGUUCCGUCCUGGGCAACAUCCCUGGGCAUCCAGAGAGCAGCAGGGCUGCCACUUCCACCCCACACAAAGCUCUGGUUGUGCUUCUCCGUGGCCCCCUGGUCAGUCAGGAAACAGCCCUCCGUGCAGUACUCCAGGGGACCCAGACAGUUGCCAGGCGGCCAGCUGCCUUGGAGUGCUUUGAGUAGUUGGAGGUUUGAGUAACACUCCAGGAGACUGUGGUUAUUUUUUCCAAAGUGGGCCAUAGUGAAUCCAUUCUGGUUGAAGGAACUGCACCCGCCUGCGUGGUGUGUUCUUGGGGACUGCUAAGUGG